AACGAACGCUGGCGGCAUGCCUAACACAUGCAAGUCGAACGAGACCUUCGGGUCUAGUGGCGCACGGGUGCGUAACGCGUGGGAACCUGCCCUUAGGGUCGGAAUAACUCCCCGAAAGGGGUGCUAAUACCGGAUAAUGUCUUCGGACCAAAGAUUUAUCGCGUUUGGAUGGGCCCGCGUUGGAUUAGCUGGUUGGUAGGGUAAAAGCCUACCAAGGCGACGAUCCAUAGCUGGUCUGAGAGGAUGAUCAGCGACACUGGGACUGAGACACGGCCCAGACUCCUACGGGAGGCAGCAGUGGGGAAUAUUGGACAAUGGGCGAAGGCCUGAUGCAGCAAUGCCGCGUGAGUGAUGAAGGCCUUAGGGUUGUAAAGCUCUUUUACCCGGGAUGAUAAUGACAGUACCGGGAGAAUAAGCCCCGGCUAACUCCGUG
rnacentral:rRNA from 1 species